UGUAAAUUGGAAAAGAAGUGCUACUUUUCAACCUAGACUUAAUAAUUGAGUUUAAGGCCAUGAUCCCACCAGAAACAUUAACUGUUACAAAUGAUCAUUCUUUAUCAGCGAAUUCUCUCAUUGAAAGCAAAACUUCCGCCUGCAGCAUCAGUGCAAAUUAAAACGCAAAAGAGUCAAGUCACACAAACAAAUAACAGCGCAGCCGGCAUCAAAAUGUUGUUUCGAUUUCUGGUGAUUUUCAUGUUGCUAUCUGUAAACUUGCUAGUUUCGGGCAGAGUUUCACACUACUCACGAACCGCCACUCCGUGUCCCAGGGGAACGGUGUUCAAAUAUGGACGGUGCAUCAGACUUUCACAAUUCGGCCAACCGGGAUACUAUUCUAGCAGUUCUGGGUAGUUGGUGCUCGAUGCAGGGAAACAAUCACACAGCAUAUGAUAAAUUUCAUAUUGUAAACUAAACUUAAAUGUGUAUUUACGAGCUUUAAAUAAAAUGAUUUAUGAGAAAUACCUUCACUAAAACAUAAAAA